rnacentral:rRNA from 1 species
GAUGAACGCUGGCGGCGUGCUUAACACAUGCAAGUCGAACGAUGAAGCCCAGCUUGCUGGGUGGAUUAGUGGCGAACGGGUGAGUAACACGUGAGUAACCUGCCCUUAACUCUGGGAUAAGCCUGGGAAACUGGGUCUAAUACCGGAUAGGAGCGUCCACCGCAUGGUGGGUGUUGGAAAGAUUUAUCGGUUUUGGAUGGACUCGCGGCCUAUCAGCUUGUUGGUGAGGUAAUGGCUCACCAAGGCGACGACGGGUAGCCGGCCUGAGAGGGUGACCGGCCACACUGGGACUGAGAAACGGCCCAGACUCCUACGGGAGGCAGCAGUGGGGAAUAUUGCACAAUGGGCGCAAGCCUGAUGCAGAGACGCAGCGUGAGGGAUGACGGCCUUCGGGUUGUAAACCUCUUUCAGUAGGGAAGAAGCGAAAGUGACGGUACCUGCAGAAGAAGCACCGGCUAACUACGUG